UGUGAACAGGGACCACGUGUCUCCUGUGUACCAGGUGGCUCGCUGGGCCAGAGCAGCCAGGCUGGGGGCCACACAGCACCUACCCUCAAGUUCACGUCCAGCCAGAGAGCACGUAAAGUCUGCAGAGUGCGAGGACAAGGGACGUGAACAAAGAAUGGUGGUCUGGGGGACAAGUACUUUGGGAAGCGUGAGAAGAUGUCUUGAGGGAGACAUCUGGAGGUGGCCAGGCCAGAUCUGCGUGAAGACUAGUCGAGUGCAGCAGUGAGAAGGGGGAAAGAGUAGAACAAGGAGUCCCAUCGGCCUGCGGUCUUUACAAGCCCUGUUCCCUCGUCCUGAGACAACUUUCCUUCCAAACUUGCUGGACCGAAGCUUCGACCUUCAAGGCUCACUGCUUGCGUUCCCGACGCUGUGGCGCCUCCCUGCCCCGCAAAGCCUUCCCCCUACAGACUGAGAGGGCUCAGCCCAGAGCCCGCCUGUGUCACUGCCCCUCUGAGCCCUGCCGGGACGGUCCGUGGUCCUGUCUCUCCUCCAUAGACCCUGAUCCCGAGGACAGGGACCGCUGCUCAGGCCCUUACGCCUGGCCCAGGGCUCGUGCCUGCUGCAUUCAACAGAAUCAAGGCCAAAAUCCAUCCUUUACCCCUCCGACAAAAGCACAGCAGGUGGCUUUCUCCUCCUGGUCCAAAAUGGCUGCUUGAGCUUCAGCCAUCACUUCUGCAUUCCAGCCAUUAGGAAACAGGAAGAGCUCUUUCUACAUCACAUGCUGGCUCCUCUGAUCUCCCAGCUCCAUCCAGGAUCAAGUUAGAAGCUAGGAAACAAUCACCUGGAGUCGCUUAAUGCCAUUUCCCUGGGAAAUUCCACCCCAAGUUCUCACUAAUGUCUUGCCUAGAGCCCCUAAUGGGAUCAACAUAAUACAUGGUUGUUUGGGAAAAAUUUCUGUAACCUUCCUGCAAAUCAAUGGAUGAGGAUGUCCCAUAGAAUCCAUGAAAUAAAUCCUGCCAGAAUGAAGCACUGUAUGAGAUCUGGAACUUCAGAUGAACUGAUCAUUUUGUUGCAAACAUGGGAGAACUAUCUAACUCGUCAGGUUUCCCUUUUUACCUUGGCUGCUAGGAAACUUAGAGUUUGAAUUCAUCACCCAGAGGCAGCCCCAACUUCAGAUGAAGUGCUGUAGUGAACAGAAUACACAUACUUUGGAUCCAGAGAGCCUAAACUUGAGCCUCAGGCAAUGCUCCUGUCAGCAAGACAUUCAAACUUCCCUGGACCUUAAACACUCCCGGGUCACCUCUGUUUUCCAGCCUGGCCUGGCCUGGCCUGCAUUUCCUCAUCCUUUUCAGUACCAUCUCAUCCCUCACUAAUCCCACUAUGGAGCCUCUGUCCCCAGGGGGUAAAGCACAGCCUGUGGGGUUGUGGGGAGCUAGAGUCACUCUAGAAUGGCUCACAAGUCCCCAGAGACCCAGGGACUUCAAAAUAAAUGAGUCAACCAGAA